rnacentral:rRNA from 1 species
AGUGAACGUUGGCGGCGUGGAUUAGGCAUGCAAGUCGAGCGAUCGUAGCAAUACGGGAGCGGCAAACGGGGUAGGAAUACAUCGGAACGUACCUUUUGGUUGAGAAUAGCGUUGGGAAACUGACGGUAAUACUCAAUAAAGUCGAGAGACCAAAGGUUUACUGCCGGAAGAGCGGCCGAUGCGAUAUUAGGUAGUUGGUGGGGUAAUGGCCUACCAAGCCUGAGAUGUCUAGGGGGUGUGAGAGCAUGGCCCCCACCACUGGGACUGAGAUACUGCCCAGACACCUACGGGUGGCUGCAGUCGAGGAUCUUCGUCAAUGGGCGAAAGCCUGAACGAGCGACGCCGCGUGCGGGAUGAAGGCCCUUGGGUUGUAAACCGCUGUCAGGGGGGAGUGAAACCGUAAGGUUGACAGAGCCCCAGAGGAAGCACGGGCGUAAGUUCGUGCCAGCAGCCGCGGUAAU